rnacentral:rRNA from 1 species
UACGUAGGGGGCUAGCGUUGUCCGGAAUUAUUGGGCGUAAAGAGCUCGUAGGCGGUUUGUCGCGUCGGCCGUGAAAACUUGGGGCUUAACUCCAAGCUUGCGGUCGAUACGGGCAGACUUGAGUUCGGCAGGGGAGACUGGAAUUCCUGGUGUAGCGGUGAAAUGCGCAGAUAUCGGGAGGAACACCAGUGGCGAAGGCGACUACCUGGCCUGUUCUUGACGCUGAGGCGCGAAAGCUAGGGGAGCAAACGGG